AUUGAACGCUGGCGGCAUGCCUUACACAUGCAAGUCGAACGGUAACAGGUCUUCGGAUGCUGACGAGUGGCGAACGGGUGAGUAAUACAUCGGAACGUGCCUAGUAGUGGGGGAUAACUACUCGAAAGAGUGGCUAAUACCGCAUGAGAUCUACGGAUGAAAGCAGGGGAUCGCAAGACCUUGUGCUACUAGAGCGGCCGAUGGCAGAUUAGGUAGUUGGUGGGAUAAAAGCUUACCAAGCCGACGAUCUGUAGCUGGUCUGAGCGGACGAUCAGCCACACUGGGACUGAGACACGGCCCAGACUCCUACGGGAGGCAGCAGUGGGGAAUUUUGGACAGUGGGCGAAAGCCUGAUCAAGCAAUGCCGCGUGCAGGAUGAAGGCCUUCGGGUUGUAAACUGCUUUUGUACGGAACGAAAAGCCCCGGGUUAAUACCCUGGGGUCAUGACGGUACCGUAAGAAUAAGCACCGGCUAACUACGUGCCAGCAGCCGCCGUAA
rnacentral:rRNA from 1 species